UGGAGUGCAGUGUGCUCUUGGUUGGUUGGAACAAAAACCAGCAGCCACAGUUGCUCAUUCUGGACUGGUUUGAGGACCACUGCUUGAACUGAUCAGCUCUGCAACAGUAUAUCUAUAUCCAGAGAUCUUGGUCAAACAACAGUUGUAGUGUUGAGUGCAGGAAGUGGAGACAUGGCUGGACAUCUGCCUGCAGUCUGUGCAUUGAUCCUGAUUCUGGUUGCACUUGGGUGCUCGGAUGCGAAGUCAAUUAAACAAAACAGAGUUCACCUUGGCCGUUGCCCUGGUCCAGCCUAUGCCAACAAUCCACACAUGUGUGAUGAUGUCUCGUUCACCCGUUGCACCAAUGACAGUCCCUGCCGCAAAUAUGAGAAAUGCUGCGACAAUGGAUGUGGGCAUACGUGCGUUCCAGUGAUCAGGAUUAAUUUCGGCCAUUUUGGCUGAUACCUGUCAAAGAAAGUUGGGGGUGAAGAACAACUCAGCAAGACAACUGGCUGCCGUUCUGCAGUGAGCCCUGCUGAUUCAACAGUCUUCAAUCACACUGGAUUCUCCAUCCUUGGGUCUACUUUCUGGGUUUCUUUAAAUGCCAAAAUAUAACGUUUAAAAAUAAAAUGGUGAACCCAUAUUAUCGGAUAACUUUCAACUUAAUCAACUGUUUGUGCACUUUGGUACACAUUUGAUCACCUUUAUAAACAAAUUAUAAUCUUUAUAUGAUUGAUCCUUUGUCAAACUGGUGGUAACUGUUGCUCUGUCUCAAUCUCUUCUUUAUCAGCGAAUAAAAAUAAAUUGCAUCACAAUGUG